rnacentral:rRNA from 1 species
AUGACGAGUGGGCCACUCUUACACGCAGGCCUGUUUUGCAGUCACAACACGUGUUUGUGUUUGGGUGGAAAGCACGGAUUGACAGCGGCGAUCGUGGGCCUACGGCAAAAAAAGGGUGGACUGGAGCGCGUGCACCGCGUGAGCCAAUCCUCUCCCGAAAACCUAGCGCACCAGAGCCCCACGCCCUCUUCUUCCCCUCUGCGCCGUCUUGCCUCCCCUCUCGCACCGCCGCCUUCUCUCGGCCACCCUCCUGGCACAUUCUUCUGGGCCUCUUCCCCGGCGCUCGAACUGCAGCGGCGGCGGCGCCGCUCCUCCUCACGGGCAUGGUCGCAUCUGGAGGAGUAG